GUAAAAAAACUUGUAGAAUCUUAAAAAUAUAUUUAGAUCGUCCUUUAUCAAUAAAAUUUGUACAAAAUGCGCUUUGUAAUAUUUUUUCUUUACGGUUACAUCUUUAUAUUUUAUUUUUAUUUUUUGCUAAAGUGAAAAAAAUAGUGCAUUCUUUAGAGCUUUGAAGAACGUUGGUAGAUCAACAAUGAGUCGUCUGGAAAACAUGUCGGCAAGAGAUGCUUACAGCAAUGUGACUGAUCUAAAAACGAUAGCCAACAAAUUCGUAAACGGCGAAUAUUAAAUUGAAAAAACUAGUGAAUUGAGUAUCACAUAUCUGCGUUAACGAAUUUAGUAAUUUGUUGGACGAAUGUAGUAAUUCGUUAGAUGAAUGAGAUCAAUCAAGCCAUUUAAAAAAAUAUAUAUUCAUUCGCAUUGUAGUUUUACACAUACCACCUAACAUUGACUAUAAAAAAUAUAUAUGAAAAAGAAAUCUGUUGCAAGGGAGACUAACCUAGCCCAACAAUUUUUAAAGCUCUAGGGCAAAAUAAAAAUUCAGGACCUUAUAUUCAUGUUAAA
rnacentral:sRNA from 1 species